UAUUGCACACGGCAUUCUGUCUAAAUCUAUAUUAUAUAAUUGCUGUGCUAUUUUAUUUUAUUAUUUUUAUCUCAUGUACUAUUUUAAUAUGAUUGUGUUGUUUAUUUUGUUGCUUUUGUAUAGUUUAAAUAAUCUCAAGAAGUGACAGUUCCCUGAAAUAUAAACAAUAUUACAUAAUUGCUAUCUUUUUAUUUCGACGUGCUAUAAAUCAUUGCAUCCAAAGUUCGCCUUUAUCUCUUGCCUACCCUAAUUCGAUAAUUUUUGGUUGGUGCACGUGUAGGUAUAGCAAUCGGUAUUAGUAUUGUGCUAAUUGCUUGUUGCUACGAAAUAACUUUUUCUAGCAAAUGAACGUAAAAUUUCAAUUUUCGCGCCAAAAUCCUGAAAAUUGUCCUUAACAAAAUGGCGCCUACAGUAAUCAACAGCCUUUCAUUUAUACUUUAAAGACAAAACCUUGUGAACGUUGCGUUAUUGUAUAAUUAUUAUUACAUAUUAUUACAUUUAAUAUUAUAAAAUAAUAACGUAAAUAUAGUAGCAAUAUUAAAGAAGAAUUGGCAAGAAGCAGUUUGGCGCAACGUCUCGCAUUUUCCUUCUGCCUGCUUUGGCGGCGUAUUUGCGUUGCGAUUGCGUCAUUCUUCUCGGAGCCGGAGUGAACUUCAAGUCGCGUGUUUGCAUGAGUUUUUUGAAGUGCUGUUGGGGCUGGGGCUGCGUGAUCGUCACUGGCGUCCUCCAGAGUGCCCACCGAUCAGAAAGUCGUACGAACCGCAAGCUUUGAACGUCUGUUUAUCGCACCCUCGAAAGCGGCGGCACAGAAGGCGCGAUGUGAGCUCCGGUGGGAACAGCAGCCCUUUGUCUCGUAACGGUGCCGUCCAGACUGGCCAUGAGACCAGCGAAUUUGCUGUAGAAACAGCCAUCUGGGAGUGGCUGCGUCACGCUCCUGCCAGGCACAGAACUGCCAUUGCCAAGGACUGUGCCACUGAACAGCCCGGAUAUGUGCGACAUGGUUCCCUCGGCCUGUUGCACAUUUACCUAUCACCCGCAGCAUCUAGCUGCCAGAGUGACCUUGCUUUCUUCAGCGCUGUGCCACUGAACAGCCCGGACAUGUGUGACAUGGUCUCCUAGGCCUGCGGUACUUUCGCCGAUUACCCGUGGCGUCGAGCUCCAGUGUGCCGAGUUGUCCAAUACUGCCAAGUGCUUUAUGAUGCCACCAAUGUGCCAAAUGCUCUAGUACUGUUAUGUGCUUCGCCACUCUGCCUUGCGCUCUCCACAUCUCUCCAGUAUAUAAAGUGUCCCAUCGCGUCUCCAUUUGUGAAGUGCAUUACCAAGUCGCCAAGUGCUCCAGUACUGUGUUAUGUGCUCCGCUGCUUUGCCGAGUGCUCUCCGUUUCUACAGUAUACCAAGUGCCCCAUUGCAUCUCCAUUUUACCAAGUGCUCCAAUAUUGUCAAAUGCUUGACCAGGUCUGGAAUGUGCCAUGUGCUCCACUGCUGUGCCAAGUGUAUACUUUGUAAAUGAUAUACAUGCCUUAAGUUCAACCAAUAGCUCUACUGCAUAAUUUAUCCAUACAGUUGGUCUUCAGAUAGACUUCUAUGUCAGUAUGUACACAUAUUGUAGAGUUGUGUUACUGUUCCUGUAGAGUAGAUGUGGGUCAACAUGUUUUUUCUUCAUAGAAGGCUACAGCGCGGAACCAACAAAGACAAAGAACACAGACACAGUGUUGACUUUCAACAAGAAUCAGCUUUCUGAAAGUCAGUGCUGUGUCUGUUCUUUGUGUGCCUCUCCUGUCUUCGUCGGUUCCGCGCCAUGGCCUUCUACGAUGUUCAAGCAGCAAGCCCAACUGGUUACUCUGCUCAAAUGUUUUUCUACCAUUCUUGGCACCUUUGUGCCGUUUCCUAUAUCAAGUGCCCAGCUUGCUAUGCAACUGCCGAGAUUUGUCACACCAGCGUGCUGCUGCCAUUGAUGUCAUCAUUGCUAAUACAGCCUUCAUAAAUAACAACAUAAACUUGGACAGCACAAUAUUAUUUUUAAAUUUUCAUUUCAUUCUAAUAUAUAAAGAAGGUUGUACUUAUUUGUUUAUUUCUACUAACAUUCUGCAGAUAUCACAAGGACCAUGCAUUGCGUUUAAUGUUUUACUCACAGAAGAUGUGUGCAUCACUCCUGGAAGUUUGUAGUUUGUGUAUUUCUAGUCAGGUUUUGUGGAUUUUGCUUCGACCAACUUUCUAGUCACAUUUCGCAGAUUUUACUUGCACAUCUAUUGAUUUUGUUUUACUUGCACAUGAAUUGUCUGCAUUUUGACAAGGUCACAAAUAUAUCUGAGAAAAUAUUGAGCUUUAUGCUGCCAGAUGUAAGAGUUGCGUGUUCAAAAGAACUCUUGUUCAAGUUCAUGCUAUUCAUCGCUUCGACAUUUCAGGUCUUGCUGUUCAUCUUAGUAUUUUUUAUGCAAUAUUGUCUUAGCUGCAUUUUAUGUAUGGUAUAACAGGGAUUCCUCAGCGAGAGCUUGAGGUAUACUUUGCAAGGGCAUUAUUUAGGGAUUUAUUUCUCUGGUUUAGCUAGUUCUAUAUUUUCUAAGCAACGAUAUCCUAAAAUUCUGUAUGAUAUAGGUCUCAUUUUUGCUGUUCAACAUAGCUUUCAUUUUGUUAAACAUAUCCUGAAUAAAAGCUUGAGAUACUCUUUGAGGAUGUACGCGUGAGUUUGUUUUAGUUCUAUUUUUUUCUAUGAAAGGUUACUUUAUUAUGUGUAAUGCUUGUUCUAAAAUAAAAUUUUGCUGUGGAACCAAAGUUUCAAGGCUGGUAUCAUUUUUCUAUCACGUGAAAAAGACACUACACGAUUGCCGCACAUGCUGGGGAAUGUAUAAAAUUACAUCUUGGGAACGUACUUAUUACGUAUUUCGGCUCAAAACUAAUAUCCAAACAAUGUAACAAAUGUCCAGCAAUUACAUCCAUAUAACAUCUUUUCAACGUAAAAAAAGAGGACUUUUGACAGUACCACCUACGUAGAUUUUACGUAAACUAGAUCUAUUUGAACCUCUAAUAGAGGUAUUG